UAUGGAGAGUUUGAUCCUGGCUCAGGAUGAACGCUGGCGGCGUGCCUAAUACAUGCAAGUCGAGCGAACGGACGAGAAGCUUGCUUCUCUGAUGUUAGCGGCGGACGGGUGAGUAACACGUGGAUAACCUACCUAUAAGACUGGGAUAACUUCGGGAAACCGGAGCUAAUACCGGAUAAUAUUUUGAACCGCAUGGUUCAAAAGUGAAAGACGGUCUUGCUGUCACUUAUAGAUGGAUCCGCGCUGCAUUAGCUAGUUGGUAAGGUAACGGCUUACCAAGGCAACGAUGCAUAGCCGACCUGAGAGGGUGAUCGGCCACACUGGAACUGAGACACGGUCCAGACUCCUACGGGAGGCAGCAGUAGGGAAUCUUCCGCAAUGGGCGAAAGCCUGACGGAGCAACGCCGCGUGAGUGAUGAAGGUCUUCGGAUCGUAAAACUCUGUUAUUAGGGAAGAACAUAUGUGUAAGUAACUGUGCACAUCUUGACGGUACCUAAUCAGAAAGCCACGGCUAACUACGUGCCAGCAGCCGCGGUAAUACGUAGGUGGCAAGCGUUAUCCGGAAUUAUUGGGCGUAAAGCGCGCGUAGGCGGUUUUUUAAGUCUGAUGUGAAAGCCCACGGCUCAACCGUGGAGGGUCAUUGGAAACUGGAAAACUUGAGUGCAGAAGAGGAAAGUGGAAUUCCAUGUGUAGCGGUGAAAUGCGCAGAGAUAUGGAGGAACACCAGUGGCGAAGGCGACUUUCUGGUCUGUAACUGACGCUGAUGUGCGAAAGCGUGGGGAUCAAACAGGAUUAGAUACCCUGGUAGUCCACGCCGUAAACGAUGAGUGCUAAGUGUUAGGGGGUUUCCGCCCCUUAGUGCUGCAGCUAACGCAUUAAGCACUCCGCCUGGGGAGUACGACCGCAAGGUUGAAACUCAAAGGAAUUGACGGGGACCCGCACAAGCGGUGGAGCAUGUGGUUUAAUUCGAAGCAACGCGAAGAACCUUACCAAAUCUUGACAUCCUUUGACAACUCUAGAGAUAGAGCCUUCCCCUUCGGGGGACAAAGUGACAGGUGGUGCAUGGUUGUCGUCAGCUCGUGUCGUGAGAUGUUGGGUUAAGUCCCGCAACGAGCGCAACCCUUAAGCUUAGUUGCCAUCAUUAAGUUGGGCACUCUAAGUUGACUGCCGGUGACAAACCGGAGGAAGGUGGGGAUGACGUCAAAUCAUCAUGCCCCUUAUGAUUUGGGCUACACACGUGCUACAAUGGACAAUACAAAGGGCAGCGAAACCGCGAGGUCAAGCAAAUCCCAUAAAGUUGUUCUCAGUUCGGAUUGUAGUCUGCAACUCGACUACAUGAAGCUGGAAUCGCUAGUAAUCGUAGAUCAGCAUGCUACGGUGAAUACGUUCCCGGGUCUUGUACACACCGCCCGUCACACCACGAGAGUUUGUAACACCCGAAGCCGGUGGAGUAACCUUUUAGGAGCUAGCCGUCGAAGGUGGGACAAAUGAUUGGGGUGAAGUCGUAACAAGGUAGCCGUAUCGGAAGGUGCGGCUGGAUCACCUCCUUUCUAA
rnacentral:rRNA from 1 species